rnacentral:rRNA from 1 species
UGGGGAAUAUUGGACAAUGGGCGAAAGCCUGAUCCAGCCAUGCCGCGUGUGUGAAGAAGGUCUUCGGAUUGUAAAGCACUUUAAGUUGGGAGGAAGGGCAGUAAGCGAAUACCUUGCUGUUUUGACGUUACCGACAGAAUAAGCACCGGCUAACUCUGUGCCAGCAGCCGCGGUAAUACAGAGGGUGCAAGCGUUAAUCGGAAUUACUGGGCGUAAAGCGCGCGUAGGUGGUUCGUUAAGUUGAAUGUGAAAGCCCCGGGCUCAACCUGGGAACAGCAUUCGAUACUGGUUAGCUAGAGUGUGGGAGAGGAUGGUAGAAUUCCAGGUGUAGCGGUGAAAUGCGUAGAGAUCUGGAGGAAUACCGAUGGCGAAGGCAGCCAUCUGGCCUAACACUGACGCUGAGGUACGAAAGCAUGGGGAGCAAACAGG